UACGUAGGGUGCGAGCGUUGUCCGGAAUUAUUGGGCGUAAAGAGCUUGUAGGCGGUUUGUCGCGUCUGCCGUGAAAACCCGGGGCUCAACCCCGGGCCUGCAGUCGAUACGGGCAGACGUAGAGUGCGGUAGGGGAGACUGGAAUUCCUGGUGUAGCGGUGAAAUGCGCAGAUAUCAGGAGGAACACCGGUGGCGAAGGCGGGUCUCUGGGCCGUAACUGACGCUGAGGAGCGAAAGCGUGGGGAGCGAACAGG
rnacentral:rRNA from 1 species